CUGAUAAAGGCAAACUUACUGAAAAGUAAGGACGCAAAACUAUAGGGCCUUCCAAUAGGAUGGCAGCCAGUUUCCAA
rnacentral:ncRNA from 1 species